rnacentral:rRNA from 1 species
AGAGAUGUGUGAUGACGCAUAUCAAUAAGCGGAGGAAAAGAAACUAACAAGGAUUCCCUUAGUAACGGCGAGUGAAGCGGGAAGAGCUCAAAUUUGAAAUCUUCAAGGUUCUACCUUGACGAAUUGUAGUUUAUAAGAAGUGUUUUCUGUUAGUAGGAGUGGCAAAAGUUCUUUGGAAUAGGACAUCAUAGAGGGUGAGAAUCCCGUAUUUGGUCAUUCUUUCUAGCUUUGUGAUACACUUUCAACGAGUCGGAUUGUUUGGGAAUGCAGUCCAAAAUGGGUGGUAAAUUUCAUCUAAAGCUAAAUAUUGGCGAGAGACCGAUAGCGAACAAGUACCGUGAGGGAAAGAUGAAAAGAACUUUGAAAAGAGAGUUAAACAGUACGUGAAAUUGUCAAAAGGGAAGCGUUUGACACCAGUGUUGUUUUUUCCGAAAAUCAAUUACGAAUGUUUUGUUUUUAAGAAGUUAUGACUUCAUCGGCUUGCUUCUCUCUUUACUGAAACUUUCUUAAUGCACUUUUCGGUUAACAAGUCAACAUCAAUUUCUUUUGUUGUAAAAGGGUAUGAGGAAGGUGGCUUUCUUUUCGGAGAAAGUGUUUAUAGCCUUGUAGCCUCUGCAAUCGGAGAGAUUGAGGUCUGCAGCGUAGAUCCUUCGGGGUUAGAUACAUUUGUGCUAAGUUAUAGCUUUUCAUAGACAACUUGUUGACUAUGUUAAGUCUUGUAGCUUACUCGCUUAUGCUAUUUUACCUACGCUUAGGAUGUUGAAGAUGUAGCACAUCAU